rnacentral:rRNA from 1 species
AUUGAACGCUGGCGGCAUGCCUUACACAUGCAAGUCGAACGGCAGCACGGACUUCGGUCUGGUGGCGAGUGGCGAACGGGUGAGUAAUGUAUCGGAACGUACCUUUCAGUGGGGGAUAACGUAGCGAAAGUUACGCUAAUACCGCAUAUUCUGUGAGCAGGAAAGCAGGGGAUCGCAAGACCUUGCGCUGAUUGAGCGGCCGAUAUCAGAUUAGCUAGUUGGUGAGGUAAAGGCUCACCAAGGCGACGAUCUGUAGCGGGUCUGAGAGGAUGAUCCGCCACACUGGAACUGAGACACGGUCCAGACUCCUACGGGAGGCAGCAGUGGGGAAUUUUGGACAAUGGGGGCAACCCUGACCCAGCAACGCCGCGUGAAGGAAGAAGGCCUCGGUUGUAACGUUCUUGUAUCAGGAAGAAACGAAAUAGAACGGUACCUGAAGAACAAGACCACGGCAACUACGUG